AAACCAGGCUCCAAGUGAACCAAGGCCUCGGUUCCAAAAUCAACCUCCAAACCAACAAACUACUGGGCGGUUUGAUCCUCAGUUUCCAAACCAGGCACCAAAUCCACCACGGUCUCGGUUCCCAGACCAAGCUCCAAAUCAGCAACCUAGUGGCCGGUUUGAUCCUCAGUAUCCAAACCAGGCGCCAAAUCCACCACGGUCUCGGUUCCCAGACCAAGCUCCAAAUCAGCAACCUAGUGGCCGGUUUGAUCCUCAGUAUCCAAACCAGGCUCCAAGUCCUUUACGGCCUCGGUUCCCUGACCAAGCUCCAAAUCAGCAACCCUCUGGGCCAUCUCCAAACCGCCACCUAGACCGGCAAGGUCCUCCACCUAGAUUCCAAAACCAAGCUCCAAACCAACAACCUACCGGACGGUUUGAACCUCCGCCACCAAACCCACCCCGGGCUCCACCACGUCCACAAACCCG
rnacentral:lncRNA from 1 species